AGAUUGAACGCUGGCGGCAGGCCUAACACAUGCAAGUCGAGCGGCAGCACGGGUACUUGUACCUGGUGGCGAGCGGCGGACGGGUGAGUAAUGCCUAGGAAUCUGCCUGGUAGUGGGGGAUAACGCUCGGAAACGGACGCUAAUACCGCAUACGUCCUACGGGAGAAAGCGAGGGGACCUUCGGGCCUUGCGCUAUCAGAUGAGCCUAGGUCGGAUUAGCUAGUUGGUGAGGUAAUGGCUCACCAAGGCGACGAUCCGUAACUGGUCUGAGAGGAUGAUCAGUCACACUGGAACUGAGACACGGUCCAGACUCCUACGGGAGCAGCAGUGGGGAAUAUUGGACAAGUGGGACGAAAGCCUGGAUCCAGCCAUCGCCGCGUGUGUGAAGAAGGUCUUACGGAUUAGUAAAGUCGUAACGUUUAAGGUUGGGAAGGUAA
rnacentral:rRNA from 1 species